AAAGUACUCCCUACGUCCGAAAAUACUUGUCGAAGGAAUGAAUGUAUCUAGACGUAUUUAGUUUGAAGAUACAUCCACUUUUAUGCAUUUCUCCGAUAAAUAUUUCCGGACAGAGGGAGUAUAAC
rfam:Triticum aestivum genome assembly, contig: Triticum_aestivum_CS42_TGACv1_scaffold_032512_1BL